rnacentral:rRNA from 1 species
GAUUGAACGCUGGCGGCAGGCCUAACACAUGCAAGUCGAACGGUAACAGGAAGCAGCUUGCUGCUUUGCUGACGAGUGGCGGACGGGUGAGUAAUGUCUGGGAAACUGCCUGAUGGAGGGGGAUAACUACUGGAAACGGUGGCUAAUACCGCAUAACGUCGCAAGACCAAAGAGGGGGACCUUCGGGCCUCUUGCCAUCAGAUGUGCCCAGAUGGGAUUAGCUUGUUGGUGAGGUAACGGCUCACCAAGGCGACGAUCCCUAGCUGGUCUGAGAGGAUGACCAGCCACACUGGAACUGAGACACGGUCCAGACUCCUACGGGAGGCAGCAGUGGGGAAUAUUGCACAAUGGGCGCAAGCCUGAUGCAGCCAUGCCGCGUGUAUGAAGAAGGCCUUCGGGUUGUAAAGUACUUUCAGCGGGGAGGAAGGUGUUGUGGUUAAUAACCACAGCAAUUGACGUUACCCGCAGAAGAAGCACCGGCUAACUCCGUGCCAGCAGCCGCGGUAAUACGGAGGGUGCAAGCGUUAAUCGGAAUUACUGGGCGUAAAGCGCACGCAGGCGGUCUGUCAAGUCGGAUGUGAAAUCCCCGGGCUCAACCUGGGAACUGCAUUCGAAACUGGCAGGCUUGAGUCUUGUAGAGGGGGGUAGAAUUCCAGGUGUAGCGGUGAAAUGCGUAGAGAUCUGGAGGAAUACCGGUGGCGAAGGCGGCCCCCUGGACAAAGACUGACGCUCAGGUGCGAAAGCGUGGGGAGCAAACAGGAUUAGAUACCCUGGUAGUCCACGCCGUAAACGAUGUCUACUUGGAGGUUGUGCCCUUGAGGCGUGGCUUCCGGAGCUAACGCGUUAAGUAGACCGCCUGGGGAGUACGGCCGCAAGGUUAAAACUCAAAUGAAUUGACGGGGGCCCGCACAAGCGGUGGAGCAUGUGGUUUAAUUCGAUGCAACGCGAAGAACCUUACCUGGUCUUGACAUCCACAGAACUUUCCAGAGAUGGAUUGGUGCCUUCGGGAACUGUGAGACAGGUGCUGCAUGGCUGUCGUCAGCUCGUGUUGUGAAAUGUUGGGUUAAGUCCCGCAACGAGCGCAACCCUUAUCCUUUGUUGCCAGCGGUCCGGCCGGGAACUCAAAGGAGACUGCCAGUGAUAAACUGGAGGAAGGUGGGGAUGACGUCAAGUCAUCAUGGCCCUUACGACCAGGGCUACACACGUGCUACAAUGGCGCAUACAAAGAGAAGCGACCUCGCGAGAGCAAGCGGACCUCAUAAAGUGCGUCGUAGUCCGGAUUGGAGUCUGCAACUCGACUCCAUGAAGUCGGAAUCGCUAGUAAUCGUGGAUCAGAAUGCCACGGUGAAUACGUUCCCGGGCCUUGUACACACCGCCCGUCACACCAUGGGAGUGGGUUGCAAAAGAAGUAGGUAGCUUAACCUUCGGGAGGGCGCUUACCACUUUGUGAUUCAUGACUGGGGUGAAGUCGUAACAAGGUAACCGUAGGGGAACCUGCGGUUGGAUCACCUCCUUACCUUAAAGAAGC